GUGUGUGUGUGUUUGUGUGUGCUUUUUCCAGUGUGUGUGUGUGUGUGUGUGUGUGUAUGUGUGUGUGUGUGUUAAGGAUGGUAUGGUGUACAUACCAAUUACAAAACAAUUGCUUAAUUAGCAUAGGGAAAUGAGAAAG